AUAUAUCUUAGUGCCCUAGCCAUUUCUCCCCUCACCUUCUACCCUGUCCAUUCAUCCCUUUCUAUAUGAAACUCUAUGCCAUUGCAUCCCGCAAAUUACCCAUGGUUAGACAUCUUCUUCUUCAUCAGUGUCAACUACAAAUGGACAAACCCCUCUCAACAGUCUCGACUACAACAUCAUCUUCCUGUUUGCUCCGAUUUCUUCUCACUUGCUUCACCACACGCUGUCAAGCAUGAAAGCCCAUAUUCCUUUCUUCCUUGAUCCAGCAAUGCCUAUUAUCCAUCCAGGGUCAAACAACUGAAUCUUCAACCAAUAGAAUCUUCAACUUGUUGAAUUUGUUGCUGAGAAGUUGAUUGUUACCUUCAAACAAUCGAAUUUCUGCCCCCAAGCAUAUUCUAAAGCUUUUGGUGAGGAAAUCAACAAAUUGCAUUAAUUUAUUCAGUUACAAUCAUUGAUUAAUCUUGCUGAUUUUGAAGAAAACUAUUGUCAAGUUGAACAAUGGCUCUAGUGGUUUAUUGCUAAAGAAAAAGGCAAGUUAUAGUGUAAAGAAGAAGCAACCAAGUCUUUCAUCAAGACAUUUUGCCGAGUGUUCUACGUCUGGUUCCUCUAAUCAUGAUAUUAGAGGUUUGUUAGAGGGUUGCUGAGUCAAGCACGUGUUGAACCCAUUUAAGGUAUAUCUAGCAUGCCAAAUGAUACAUCUUUGGAGAUGGAAUCUGAAAUACCUAAUCCUCCAUUGAAUGGCAAUCAUCAAGUCUCAUCACAAGUACCUUUGGAUAACUUAUCUGAUAGUGUAGCUGAAAUUGAAAGCAUUGAUGCUCCACUUAUAACACUCAUCACCCGUUUAUAAUGUAGCCGAACAAAGUAUGCCACAUUCGGUGUCGGAGCACCCUAUAUUAUUUUGUCAAGUCCAUUGUUAAUUUUUAAUAUCAUUUAUUCAUGUGUGGAAAUUUUUUUUAUUUUUAUUUUUGUGGAUACCCGGGGCAGAGCCUUCUCUAUUUUAUUAGCAUCUGGUGGGUUGUAAUAUUUACUUGUCAACAUAAUAAUAUUGUACUCAUUUCCUUAUA